AAAAAAAGUUUAUACUAAACGUGAAAACCUGUUAUAUUCUUUUUAUCUUUUUUUUGCUUACAAAAAAAAUUUAGAAAAAAUAUCAAUUCACUUAUCAAUUCACAGUUGACCUUACUGUUGGAUCAUCGAUAUUGACUAUAAUUCUAAAAACUCGAACGGUCAUAACAAUCAAUUUUAUUUAUAACAUACAGAUCCAAUGUAACCUGCCACCAAUUCAUCUACAAAAUUUACAAUCCAAUUUUUUUUUCUUUUUAUAAAUCUCAGUGUGCCCCAACUUUUGAAUUGAUCCAAUCUUC
rnacentral:lncRNA from 1 species